rnacentral:rRNA from 1 species
AGUGAAUGAUGGCGGUAGGCCUAACACAUGCAAGUCGAACGGCAGCACAGUAAGAGCUUGCUCUUACGGGUGGCGAGUGGCGGACGGGUGAGGAAUACAUCGGAAUCUACUUUUUCGUGGGGGAUAACGUAGGAAAACUUACGCUAAUACCGCAUACGACCUACGGGUGAAAGCAGGGGAUCUUCGGACCUUGCGCGAUUGAAUGAGCCGAUGUCGGAUUAGCUAGUUGGCGGGGUAAAGGCCCACCAAGGCGACGAUCCGUAGCUGGUCUGAGAGGAUGAUCAGCCACACUGGAACUGAGACACGGUCCAGACUCCUACGGGAGGCAGCAGUGGGGAAUAUUGGACAAUGGGCGCAAGCCUGAUCCAGCCAUACCGCGUGGGUGAAGAAGGCCUUCGGGUUGUAAAGCCCUUUUGUUGGGAAAGAAAAGCAGCAGGUUAAUACCCCGCUGUUCUGACGGUACCCAAAGAAUAAGCACCGGCUAACUUCGUG